GUGAGACAUAUCCAAAAAUGAAGGAUCUAGAAGGUUAAUCCAUAAAGCUAUGGGUAAAAUCAAAACCUAAAUAUUAAUAAAUAAUAUUACUUGAUAUUUUUAAUUUAUGUAUGUGAGGGGUUAAUGAUUUUGUAAAUUUUUAACAAUAUUUUGUAAAUUUUUAACAAUAUGAGGAUUGGGCCAGAGAAAGCUCAAUGUCAUCACCCCAGAAGAAAUGGGGUAUACAGGCAGCAGUCUUGUAAAGACCUGGGGAGGCCGUGGGUGUCUCUAUAUAAUGCAUAUACAACAGGUGCUGGACACAACUCCCCUCCCUUUUACGGCAAAGGAGUUCCAGGCCAUGCCUAGAGCGUGAUGUUCUUCGUGUCAUGAACACAUCCCACUCCAGCUUUUCUCUGUUCAUGUACAGACCUGCUUCAGUACACCAGACAUCAAUGAGAGUGACCGUGAAGUAAAGUCUUGGAAGAUGAUACAACUGCACCCAGUUCUCCAGUGGGAUCUGACAAAAAUGUAAGACUUUUUGCAGGACUUCUUGCAAAACCUGGAAGGCCAAGGAACAGAGAAUCAAGAUGGGAGCCCAUCUAAUGGUUGUGGAGCAAAGCAUUUGUCAGUGCAAGGUUUCUUCCAGUGGGUUUCAGGCCAGGCACAUGUGCCACUAACAGACGCUGAACAAGAUUCAUAUCGGAUAACUGUGAAUUUUGAUCACGACUGUACUUCCCGGUAUGGGUCACACACUUUGUGCUACCCUAUUGUCAAUGCAUGUGCUGUGGCAAUCAUCUUUCCGACACAUCACUUGACAACAUAUGAUGAUUUUGAAAAUAUUCUUACACAGGCAGUCUGUGCUGGAUUUGAUUUUAGCAGACACUAAGUGCUAACAGGACCAACACUUUGGGCUGUUCCUAGUUUUGGAUUAUUUUCAAAAGUUUUAAAUCUCACUUUAGUUUUAAAAAGACAGUUAGUCUUGUGAGAUUUGUAAUGUUUUGGGGCUAGGCAGCCAAAUUUGUAUAUGAAACAAAAAAAUCUAGUUCAUUGAAAUG